rnacentral:lncRNA from 1 species
ACUCCACCCCACAGGUACUCCAACUCCUGUUUGAUGUCCUUUCAUUCAGUAUUGCAAGAAUUCAUAGUGCUGCCAGUCUGCCACCGGCCCAUCCGAAAUCUGAAAGAAAAGAAAAUUGAAGUAACUCAAGAUUAGUAGCAAAUCCAAAAGGAUGUUGUAAGUUAUUCCUAUUCUUUUACUGCAGUCUAGUACCAAAUAAGAAUCGAUCGAUUGUUACCAUGCACAUUUAAUUUUUGUCAUUUUGUGAAGAUUAAGGCCAGAGGAUUUAUGCAGAUUGUUCUACAAAAACAGAUGCCAUGCCAUGAUAUGGGUGGAACAUACACGCUUAAGCACAUAACUAAUAGAGUAAUAGGAGAUAAUUGAUGAUAAUGAUGUGCAUAUCAGAGCUACCGUUAGGAAUAUCAGGACUAACUGCAUGCAUUAGUAGUCAAAGAGACUCAAGCCUGGCAUGGGCAAUAUGGGCCACUCAGGCUAGCCAAGGAGACUGCCUAUGAACCAUCUAUCUCAAAGGCUCACAUUUCUGAUCCUUCGGCACAAAGGACACAGGCAAGUCAUCCUUGGCUAUCAGAGGCAGGCCCUUAUCGCCAUGUAAGGCUUUGCCUCUGCGUACCAACUAGCUCCAUCACC